UUGCCAUCGAAGGAGGAAGGGUGCCAACCAGACCCUAUCGCCUUUUCGAACAUCAAUCGGACAACUCCGAGAGGGUUCGCCAGGCAAUCGUACGGUGGUCCGACCAUUUCUUUGAUCUCAUUGUGAUUCUCUCUGUUAUCUUUCUUGGUGACUGCUUCAGUACUGUGAUCACGGCUACGCGCGCUAAUGGGUACAAAGUAGGGAUAAUUUUUCUCGUCAAAUCUAGUCUUCCCGCCAUUUUUAGUGACCCCGGGGCCCUGAGCCCUUCCUUCGGAUUCAUGGGUUGCUCAAACUGGCCCAAAACACCAUGGACAUCUAUCUUCCAGCAGACAAUAACGUUUAACAGAAGAAAGAAAACGAACCCAUCAAUUUGAUGACCCAUCAAGCAUCAGCGAACCCAUCAAAGUGAUGAUAUUUGGAAUCUUGGAAGCAGGAAACGUUGUUUCUACCAAGUAAACCAACUAUACUCUGUAGGGCUUCAGCUGUUCCUAAACCCAAAUUAUAUGAAUUGCUAGUUCCUACUUCUCCAUGGGCUAAAUCUUGAAAACAUACAUUUAAAGCUUCACCACUAGAAAAGUUAGCAUAUAUAAUAUUGAGCAGAUUGAAA
rnacentral:misc_RNA from 1 species